GCUGGGUGUGGUGGCCCACACCUGUAGUCUUAGCUACUUGGGAGACUGAGGUGGGAGGAUCACUUGUACCCAGGAGUUCAAGGCUGCUGUGAGCUGUGAUUGAGCCACUGCACUCCAGCCUGGGUGACAGAGUGAGACCUUGUCUUUU
ensembl:misc_RNA Metazoa_SRP Metazoan signal recognition particle RNA